UACGUAGGGUGCAAGCGUUAAUCGGAAUUACUGGGCGUAAAGCGUGCGCAGGCGGUUAUGUAAGACAGAUGUGAAAUCCCCGGGCUCAACCUGGGAACUGCAUUUGUGACUGCAUAGCUAGAGUACGGUAGAGGGGGAUGGAAUUCCGCGUGUAGCAGUGAAAUGCGUAGAUAUGCGGAGGAACGCCGAUGGCGAAGGCAAUCCCCUGGACCUGUACUGACGCUCAUGCACGAAAGCGUGGGGAGCAAACAGG
rnacentral:rRNA from 1 species